rnacentral:rRNA from 1 species
GACGAACGCUGGCGGCGUGCUUAACACAUGCAAGUCGAACGAAGUGGCGAACGGGUGAGUAACGCGUAAUCAACCUGCCCUUCAGGGGGGGACAACAGUUGGAAACGACUGCUAAUACCGCAUACUGAAGGAGGGGAUUGCGUCUGAUUGGCGAGUUGGGGGGGUAACGGCCCACCAAGGCGAUGGUCAGUAGCCCGUCUGAGAUGGUGAACGGCCACAUUGGAACUGGAGAACGGCCCAGACUCCUAAGGGAGGCAGCAGUGGGUAAUCUUCCUCAAUGGAGGAAAGGCUGACGGAGCAAAGGCGCGUGGUUGAUGACGGCCUUCGGGGUGUAAAGCUCUGUUAAUCGGGACGCGGUACCGGAAUAGAAAGCCACGGCUAACUACGUGCCAGCAGCCGCGGUAAUAC